rnacentral:rRNA from 1 species
CCUACGGGAGGCAGCAGUGGGGAAUAUUGCACAAUGGGCGAAACCCUGAUGCAGCGACGCCGCGUGAGCGAUGAAGUAUUUCGGUAUGUAAAGCUCUAUCAGCAGGGAAGAACAUGACGUUACCUGACUAAGAAGCCCCGGCUAACUACGUGCCAGCAGCCGCGGUAAUACGUAGGGGGCACGCGUUAUCCGGAUUUACUGGGUGUAAAGGGAGCGUAGACGGCUGUGCAAGCCAGAUGUGAAAGCCCGGGGCUCAACCCCGGGACUGCAUUUGGAACUGGGUGGCUGGAGUGUCGGAGAGGCAGGCGGAAUUCCGGGUGUAGGGGUGAAAUGCGUAGAUAUUAGGAGGAACACCAGUGGCGAAGGCGGCCAGCUGGAAGAUGACUGACGUUGAGGAGCGAAAGCGUGGGGAGCAAACAGGAUUAGAUACCCUAGUAGUC